UUGUGUGAUUGUACUUCAAGACUGCGGUCGCGGUCGGCGGGCGCUGACCCGGGAUAGGGAUCCCCGGCGGCUCCGCGGGGGAGCGCGCCCGCCAAAGCGACGCGGUGGUAUAGGCAAGGGUUGGAGAUUGGGCCCCCGGGGGGACCCCAACUCGGUAAUGAUCCUUCCGCAGGUUCACCUACGGAAA
rnacentral:misc_RNA from 1 species